AAGCUCGUAGUUGAAUUUCGGGGUUAGUAGGUUGGUCAUGCCUCUGGUAUGUACUGGUCUCACUGAUUCCUCCUUCCUGAUGAACCGUAAUGCCAUUAAUUUGGUGUUGCGGGGAAUUUGGACUGUUACUUUGAAAAAAUUAGAGUGUUUAAAGCAAGCUAACGCUUGAAUACAUUAGCAUGGAAUAAUGAAAUAGGACGUUCGAUCCUAUUUUGUUGGUUUCUAGGAUUGACGUAAUGAUUAAUAGGGAUAGUUGGGGGCAUUAGUAUUCAAUUGUCAGAGGUGAAAUUCUUGGAUUUAUUGAAGACUAACUACUGCGAAAGCAUUUGCCAAGGAUGUUUUCAUUAAUCAAGAACGAAAGUUAGGGGAUCGAAGACGAUCAGAUACCGUCGUAGUCUUAACCAUAAACUAUGCCGACUAGGGAUCGGAUGAUGUUAAUUUUUUAAUGACUCGUUUGGCACCUUACGGGAAACCAAAGUGUUUGGGUUCCGGGGGGAGUAUGGUCGCAAGGCUGAAACUUAAAGGAAUUGACGGAAGGGCACCGCCAGGGGUGGAGCCUGCGGCUUAAUUUGACUCAACACGGGAAAACUUACCAGGUCCAGACAUAGCAAGGAUUGACAGACUGAGAGCUCUUUCUUGAUUCUAUGGGUG
rnacentral:rRNA from 1 species